AGCGCAGGCGGGAUAGCAAGUCAGCUGUGAAAACUAUGGGCUCAACCUUGGAAUUGCCGUUAUAACUAUUGAACUAGAAUGAUAGAGAGGAUAUCGGAAUACCCAGUGUAGGGGUGAAAUUCGUAGAUAUUGGGUAGAACACCGGUGGCGAAGGCGGGUAUCUGGCUAUAAAUUGACGCUGAGGCUCGAAAGCAUGGGGAUCAAACA
rnacentral:rRNA from 1 species